CUGACUGACAUUAAAGGAACCCCUGCAACCACAAGCAAGAAUUACAGAAUGCCAGGUUGGAAGGGACCUCAAGGAUCAUCUGGUCCACCUUUUUAGGCUGGAUCCUGUUACCAAUUGUCAGUUCUUCCAACAGAACAGGAGGGAAGACUAUCCAGGAUAUCAACAGGUGCUAUGGGGCAUCCUUCAGGGAA